rnacentral:rRNA from 1 species
GUGCUAAUACCGGAUAAUAAAGCAGAUCGCAUGAUCAGCUUAUAAAAGGCGGCGUAAGCUGUCGCUAUGGGAUGGCCCCGCGGUGCAUUAGCUAGUUGGUAAGGUAACGGCUUACCAAGGCAAUGAUGCAUAGCCGAGUUGAGAGACUGAUCGGCCACAUUGGGACUGAGACACGGCCCAAACUCCUACGGGAGGCAGCAGUAGGGAAUCUUCCACAAUGGACGCAAGUCUGAUGGAGCAACGCCGCGUGAGUGAAGAAGGUUUUCGGAUCGUAAAGCUCUGUUGUUGGUGAAGAAGGAUAGAGGUAGUAACUGGCCUUUAUUUGACGGUAAUCAACCAGAAAGUCACGGCUAACUACGUGCCAGCAGCCGCGGUAAUACGUAGGUGGCAAGCGUUGUCCGGAUUUAUUGGGCGUAAAGCGAGCGCAGGCGGAAGAAUAAGUCUGAUGUGAAAGCCCUCGGCUUAACCCGAGGAACUG